AAUGGAGGGGGAAAUAGACUGGGUUAUUCCUAGCACCGCUUCCCAGAAUAGAAAAAAAAAGAAAGAGAGAGGGAGGGAGUGCGCGCGAGCGCAGGAGAAUAAAAGCGACAGCGUGAAGGCAAGGGCAUCACCAAAGGGAUCACACUGCUAGGUAAAUCAAUGUAAGCAUGGGAACUGGGCUUGGAGACAAUUUUACAGUCGACUGCGCUGUCCCUUCACAGUGCACAAGAAGGAAAUCUGCUUUUUUUUUGACCCUCAGGCCGUGUUUCAGCAGUGUCUAUUAACACAUAAUGCAGAAUGCGGUUGCUGGUGUGUCUGCAUGCAACGUGGAGUCAUUUUCUCCAGGAAACAUUAUGGAUAUUCCCACUGAACUAAACUAUUAAUCAGCAGUUAAAUAGUGAAAGAAAAAAAUGAAGAAAAAAACAAACGCUGACAGAAACGAUAGCUAUUAUCACAUUCCUGAUUGUGCUAUUUUGUUAUGUGAAAGUGUGAUCGGUAUUACACAUAUUUUGAGAGGUGUGACACCCUAUCAUGGGACCUAUGUGUCAUCCUUGGCUUACGUAGAUUAUUAUUUUUAAUUUUUUUAUGUUCACAUGCUGAUUGCCUUAUGUGCAAUAAAUAAAUAAUUACAUAUCCCACA